UACGGAGGGCGCAAGCGUUGUUCGGAAUCACUGGGCGUAAAGCGCGUGUAGGCGGCUUGGCAAGUCGGGUGUGAAAUCCCGAGGCUCAACCUCGGAACUGCACUCGAAACUGCCUGGCUCGAGUCCCGGAGAGGGUGGCGGAAUUCCCGGUGUAGGGUUGAAAUCCGUAGAUAUCGGGAGGAACGCCAGUGGCGAAGGCGGCCACCUGGACGGUGACUGACGCUGAGACGCGAGAGCGUGGGGAGCAAACAGG
rnacentral:rRNA from 1 species